UAAUGGAGGUGCAACCGGAAUAGCAAUAGUAGAUCAUGCAACAACUAAUACAGGAACAGCAGCCUCAACAGCAACAAAGAGCUGAAAACUAGUGAGAGCAUUGAAUUAACUUAAUAGACUUCAAGAAAUAUAUAUGUACCACCGGCAUUCACAUGCCCUUUGAUCCCAUGGAAGCAAAAAAUUGGUUAAAAGCAAUAGAGAAAAUAUUUUAGGCCUUAAGAUGUCCUAUUGAGGAGAAGAUUAUUUUUUCUACCAUCUUAUAAAUAUGAAGUAAUUGAUUGGUGGG
rnacentral:lncRNA from 1 species